rnacentral:rRNA from 1 species
AGUGAACGCUGGCGGUAGGCCUAACACAUGCAAGUCGAACGGCAGCACAGUAAGAGCUUGCUCUUACGGGUGGCGAGUGGCGGACGGGUGAGGAAUACAUCGGAAUCUACUUUUUCGUGGGGGAUAACGUAGGGAAACUUACGCUAAUACCGCAUACGACCUACGGGUGAAAGCAGGGGAUCUUCGGACCUUGCGCGAUUGAAUGAGCCGAUGUCGGAUUAGCUAGUUGGCGGGGUAAAGGCCCACCAAGGCGACGAUCCGUAGCUGGUCUGGGAGGAUGAUCAGCCACACUGGAACUGAGACACGGUCCAGACUCCUACGGGAGGCAGCAGUAGGGAAUAUUGGACAAUGGGCGCAAGCCUGAUCCAGCCAUACCGCGUGGGUGAAGAAGGCCUUCGGGUUGUAAAGCCCUUUUGUUGGGAAAGAAAAGCAGCAGGUUAAUACCCCGCUGUUCUGACGGUACCCAAAGAAUAAGCACCGGCUAACUUCGUG